AUUGAACGCUGGCGGCAUGCCUUACACAUGCAAGUCGAACGGCAGCACGGGGGCAACCCUGGUGGCGAGUGGCGAACGGGUGAGUAAUGCAUCGGAACGUACCCGGAAGUGGGGGAUAACGUAGCGAAAGUUACGCUAAUACCGCAUAUUCUGUGAGCAGGAAAGUGGGGGACCGCAAGGCCUCACGCUUUCGGAGCGGCCGAUGUCGGGUUAGCUAGUUGGCGGGGUAAAGGCCCACCAAGGCGACGAUCCGUAGCGGGUCUGAGAGGAUGAUCCGCCACACUGGGACUGAGACACGGCCCAGACUCCUACGGGAGGCAGCAGUGGGGAAUUUUGGACAAUGGGCGCAAGCCUGAUCCAGCCAUGCCGCGUGAGUGAAGAAGGCCUUCGGGUUGUAAAGCUCUUUCGGCGGGGAAGAAAUUGCUUAGGUUAAUACCUUGAGUAGAUGACGGUACCCGCAUAAGAAGCACCGGCUAACUACGUGCCAGCAGCCGCAGUAACAC
rnacentral:rRNA from 1 species